UGGGGGAUAUUGCACAAUGGGCGCAAGCCUGAUGCAGCGACGCCGCGUGGGGGAUGAAGGCCUUCGGGUUGUAAACUUCUUUUGCUCUGAACAAGGCGCACUUUGGGGUGUGUUGAGUGUAGGGGUUGAUUAGCGCCGGCUAACUACGUGCCAGCAGCCGCGGUAAUACGUAGGGCGCGAGCGUUGUCCGGAAUUCUUGGGCAUAAGGGCUUGUAGGUGGCUGGUUGCGUCUGUCGUGAAAGCUCAUGGCUUAACUGUGGGUUUGAGGUGGGUACGGGCUGGCUUGAGUGCAGUAGGGGAGGCUGGAAUUCCUGGUGUAGCGGUGGAAUGCGCAGAUAUCAGGAGGAAUACCGGUGGCGAAGGCGGGUCGCUGGGCUGUUACUGACACUGAGGAGCGAAAGCAUGGGGAGCGAACAGG
rnacentral:rRNA from 1 species